CCCAAAAAAAAAAGGCAAUAGAGUUCUUCAUGGACUUUGGAGUUUGAAUUAUGUAUAAUUUUCACAUGUCGAGACAUUUUGAUUUAAAAAAAUCUAUAUGAAAAUAAGAUGAAUUUUCUUAGCUGACAGUCUACAUGAAAGCAGGCAGACCACACAAAAACUGACCUAGCUCAAUAGGUAGUUAUGUUGUGAUAGAGUAGUAAUGGCAGGAACUCAGUAGCUCAGUUGGUAUAGAAAACACCAGAACGUAGGGAACAGUGGUCAUGCUAUGGGGCUGUCAGGGAUGGCAAAAGCCUUCUAUAGUACUGUUUUUAAACACUUCUGAAUUUAAAGAACAAAGCUAAAACAUGUUUUAAAGUGAGCAUUACUGGAGAAAUAUGAAGGGGCCCAGAUUUUCAGGUAUGGCCUCAUAUGAUCUCUGUGUGUGUUUGUGACUGGAAUGAAAAUCUUUUGGAAGAGACUUGGGGUUCUUGGUGUGGUUCUUUUCUUGGAGGCCUCAUGCUUGCCAGACAGGUACUCUCUUGUUUGAGCCACACCCUAGCUGAGAUGUUCUUUUAUUUGGGAACAAAACUAUCAGAAAGGAGACUCGACUGGGCGGACUGCAGGAAUCUGGUCUGGGAGCCCUUCUGAAGGUCUGCCCCCUUGUGCCCUAGGUGUCCAGAUGCAGAGGGGAUACAGGUGGAUGUGCCAACCAGCCUGCUCCCUGUUCCUGCCCUCCUGUCUCCGCCUGUGUUCAGGGGUAUCAGCCAUUCUGAGAACAUUAAAAGUAGCGAGGAGAGGAAGAAAGACGUUUGUCUUUUGUAUGUGUUAUUUUAAGCUCACAUACCCAAAUUAAUUCCCCUCCUUCACUGUGGCUUUGGUGCUCGAAGCACUUGGCUCCACAUUUGCUGUGGCAAGGCCACAACUCCAAGGGUACCAUGUGCCUGCUUUGCCUUGUUCUCUGCCAGGACCCUCAGCAUUGCAUUCCAUGUUGUCUUUCCGUUGUGAAGAACAACAUAAUAGCUUUGGGGAUCUUUUUUAACUCCCCAUCUGGCUGUUAAGUCAGGAAAAUGGUUCUCUGGGAAUGACCCUGUAUAGGACUUCAGAUGUCACAAAGUGCAUCUUGCUACAGAGGUUCUCAUUGAGUAAAGUAUUGUGCUCCCCCCCCCCCAAAAAAAAAAAAAGACCAGUACACAUUAGUACCAGAAUAUUGAAAAGAAUCUGUUUUGGGGGUGUGGGCUCUCAUGUGGGUCCUGAGGGAGGUAAAGUACAGGAAGCUUGGGAUGGCCUGAGGGACAGAGCAGCCUAGCUUCGCUGUCCUGGAUCUCCUUGCUCUGGGCAUUGGCCUGGGUCCUGCCAGGCACUGGGAUGGGCCCUGGAACUCCUCUUGUCUGCACCAUGUAUACCUGAGUGCUCUUGUAUCUUGGCUUGGUGUGUAUGCUCUUCCUUGUGUAAAAUUGCUAUUCUUUUGACAAUUCAAGUGAUUGUUUGGUUUAAUAUAACUCUGCAAACAAAAGUUGUAAGAAAAAAUUCCAAUGAUUGUGCUGUGGUUGGAGACUUUAUUACUAAGAUGUUUACAUCUGCCUUUCCCUGUCAUUUUGAGGGACUAUUUGACUCUCUCCUUGAUAGCUUGUAGCCUUUCCUAUGUCAUAAUAAAGCUACAUUUUAUUCUGAA